AGUGAACGCUGGCGGUAGGCCUAACACAUGCAAGUCGAACGGCAGCACAGUAAGAGCUUGCUCUUACGGGUGGCGAGUGGCGGACGGGUGAGGAAUACAUCGGAAUCUACUUUUUCGUGGGGGAUAACGUAGGGAAACUUACGCUAAUACCGCAUACGACCUACGGGUGAAAGCAGGGGAUCUUCGGACCUUGCGCGAUUGAAUGAGCCGAUGUCGGAUUAGCUAGUUGGCGGGGUAAAGGCCCACCAAGGCGACGAUCCGUAGCUGGUCUGAGAGGAUGGACAGCCACACUGGAAAUGAGACACGGGCCAGACUCCUAAGGGAGGCAGCAGUGGGGAAUAUUGGACAAAGGGCGCAAGCCUGAUCCAGCCAUACCGCGGGGGGGAAGAAGGGCUUCGGGUUGUAAAGCCCCUUUGUUGGGAAAGAAAAGCAGCAGGUUAAUACCCCGCUGUUCUGACGGUACCCAAAGAAUAAGCACCGGCUAACUUCGUGC
rnacentral:rRNA from 1 species